rnacentral:sRNA from 1 species
CUAGAAGGUAAUGUACGAACUCGUCUCCAAAGGAUACUUAGGUUGCACCAGUGUAUUUGUAAAACAGGAGCAAAUUUGGACCUUGCCGGGCCAAAGUAGGAAUUCUUUUUCAAAUCUUAAUAUCAAGUCCUGAAAUGAAAUUAUCUCUGUUCUGUUUCUUUUUACCUUUUCUUGUGUGGGUGAACUGACCAACUUUUAAGUCUAGUUCCCUGUUGGACAGACUUUUCUCUGCUCAUUACCUAUCCCCCUACCGUCCAUAUGGCCUCCACGCUCUGCACUGACUCUAGCUGCCUCUUUAAAAUAAUAAUAGUAAUAAUAAUUAAUUUUUAAAUCCUUCUCUCCGCCCCCUCCCCACCCCCCAUGCUAAUAAUAGGUCGUGUCACGUGGAACCUCUUAAUCUCAGCAUCCGGAGCUCCAGGAAGGGAAAAUUUCAAGUCAGAUAGAAUUCUAUAUAUACCAUUUCUUUGGAACCUUCAGCCCUCAAGAUUCCAACAUCAUGACCUCAGUUUCAACACAGUUGUCCUUAGUCCUCAUGUCACUGCUUUUGGUGCUGCCUGUUGUGGAAGCAGUAGAAGCCGGUGAUGCAAUCGCCCUUUUGUUAGGUGUGGUUCUCAGCAUUACAGGCAUUUGUGCCUGCUUGGGGGUAUAUGCACGAAAAAGAAAUGGACAGAUGUGACUUUGAAAGGCCUACUGAGUCAAACCUCACCCUGAAAACUUUUGCGCUAUAGAGGCUAAACCUGAGCUUUGGUGUGUGAAAGGUUCCAAGAAUCAGUAAAUAAGGGAGUUUCACAUUUUUCAUUGUUUCCAUGAAAUGGCAA